AUUGAACGCUGGCGGCAGGCCUAACACAUGCAAGUCGAGCGGCGCGUCGGACGGGUGAUUACUGCCUAGGCAUCUGCCUGUGGGUGGGGGAUAACGUCCGGAAACAGGCGCUAAUACCGCAUACUAUCAGAUCGGCCUAGGGUGUCUUAGCUAGUUGGUGGGGUAAAGGCCCACCAAGGCGACGAUCCGUAACUGGGCUGAGAGGAGGAUCCGUCACACUGGAACUGAGACACGGCCCAGACUCCUACGGGAGGCAGCAGUGGGGAAUAUUGGACAAUGGGCGAAAGCCUGAUCGAGCCAUGCCGCGUGUAUGAAGAAGGCCUUCGGGUUGUAAAGUACUUUCAGCGGGGAGGCGUUACCCGAAGAAGAAGCACCGGCUAACUCCGUGCCAGCAGCCGCGGUAAUAC
rnacentral:rRNA from 1 species